rnacentral:rRNA from 1 species
AGUGAACACUGGCGGUAGGCCUAACACAUGCAAGUCGAACGGCAGGACAGUAAGAGCUUGCUCUUACGGGUGGCGAGUGGCGGACGGGUGAGGAAUACAUCGGAAUCUACUUUUUCGUGGGGGAUAACGUAGGGAAACUUACGCUAAUACCGCAUACGACCUACGGGUGAAAGCAGGGGAUCUUCGGACCUUGCGCGAUUGAAUGAGCCGAUGUCGGAUUAGCUAGUUGGCGGGGUAAAGGCCCACCAAGGCGACGAUCCGUAGCUGGUCUGAGAGGAUGAUCAGCCACACUGGAACUGAGACACGGUCCAGACUCCUACGGGAGGCAGCAGUGGGGAAUAUUGGACAAUGGGCGCAAGCCUGAUCCAGCCAUACCGCGUGAGUGAAGAAGGCCUUCGGGUUGUAAAGCCCUUUUGUUGGGAAAGAAAAGCAGCAGGUUAAUACCCCGCUGUUCUGACGGUACCCAAAGAAUAAGCACCGGCUAACUUCGUG